UCCUGGCUCAGGAUGAACGCUAGCUACAGGCUUAACACAUGCAAGUCGAGGGGCAGCAUGGAGUUGCUGCAAACUCUGAUGGCGACCGGCGCACGGGUGAGUAACGCGUAUCCAACCUUCCCUAUAGUAGAGGAUAGCCCGGCGAAAGUCGGAUUAAUACUCUAUGUUUUCCGUUGCAGACAUCUAAGAUGGAACAAAGGCUUGCCGCUAUAGGAUGGGGAUGCGUCUGAUUAGGUAGUCGGCGGGGUAACGGCCCACCGAGCCAUCGAUCAGUAGGGUUCUGAGAGGAAGGUCCCCCACAUUGGAACUGAGACACGGUCCAAACUCCUACGGGAGGCAGCAGUGAGGAAUAUUGGUCAAUGGGCGAGAGCCUGAACCAGCCAAGUAGCGUGCAGGAUGACGGCCCUACGGGUUGUAAACUGCUUUUAUGCGGGGAUAAAGUUCACUACGUGUAGUGUUUUGUAGGUACCGCAUGAAUAAGGACCGGCUAAUUCCGUGCCAGCAGCGGC
rnacentral:rRNA from 1 species